GACGAACGCUGGCGGCGUGCUUAACACAUGCAAGUCGAACGGAAAGGCCUUUUCAGCGGUCCUCGAGUGGCGGCCGGGGGCGUAACACGUGGGUGAUCUGCCCUGCCCUCUUGUAUGAGCCUGGGAAACUGGGUCUACUACCGGUUAGGCCCGAUACUUCGUGUGUGUGGUGGCAAGUGAUUUCGGUGUAGUAUGCGCCUGCGGGCGACCAGCUUGUUUGUGGGGGUAUGGCGUACCAAGGCGGAGAGGGGGAGCCGGACUGAGAGGUUUGGCGGCCACAUUGGGACUGUGAGACAGCCCAGAGUCCGGCGGGAGGGAGCAGUGGGGAAUACUGGACAAUGGGCGCCAGCGUGAUGCAGCGAGGCCGCGUGGGUGAUGACGGCCUUUGGGUUGUAAACACAGUUCGCCAGGGACGAAGCGUUUUGUGACGGUAACUGGAGAAGAAGCACCGGCUAACUACGGG
rnacentral:rRNA from 1 species